CAAGACGUAGCUUCAACCAAAGCAUUCAGCUUACACCUGAAAGAUACCUGACAACACCAGGUCGUCUUGA
rnacentral:tRNA from 1 species